rnacentral:rRNA from 1 species
GUGAGCAACCUGCCUUUCAGUGGGGGACAACAUUUGGAAACGAAUGCUAAUACCGCAUAAGACCACAGUGUCGCAUGGCACAGGGGUCAAAGGAUUUAUCCGCUGAAAGAUGGGCUCGCGUCCGAUUAGCUAGAUGGUGAGGUAACGGCCCACCAUGGCGACGAUCGGUAGCCGGACUGAGAGGUUGAACGGCCACAUUGGGACUGAGACACGGCCCAGACUCCUACGGGAGGCAGCAUG